GCAUUCCUGUCGCUCAAUCAGUAGAGCGUUGCGCUAAGAACCCAAAGGUCAUGGGUUCUAACCUCACAGAAAACA